UACGGAGGGUGCAAGCGUUAUCCGGAUUUACUGGGUUUAAAGGGUGCGUAGGUGGAUUGGGAAGUCAGUGGUGAAAUACUUUCGCUUAACGAAGGAACUGCCAUUGAUACUAUCAAUCUUGAAUGUAGUGGAGGUAGGCGGAAUGCGUCAUGUAGCGGUGAAAUGCUUAGAUAUGACGCAGAACACCAAUUGCGAAGGCAGCUUGCUACACUACUAUUGACACUGAGGCACGAAAGCGUGGGGAGCAAACAGG
rnacentral:rRNA from 1 species